AAAUGCACAUAGCUGGCUACCAUACGCCGAAAAACGACCAGUUUAGCCACUGACUUUCGUGGGUUGAGCGUUUUCGGCCUUAGUUAAGUGACUUUCUCCAUUUGUGCUUUCACCCUAUUUUUGUGACACUUUUCACCGCCCGAAACCCGAACAAAGACGACCUUAAGGACGGAUACGUGAUUUGGCAAUUGCGGUGAGUGUGACACGAGAUUAUUUUCUCGGCGAUAAAUUCGGUAAAACGGCACUGUAAAAGGACCGAUCGGAGAUCUCGGCGACGGAAUAUAUUUACGGUUUACGUAACAAGACUGCCUACCUAACUGGUUUCCAGAGACAAAUUCACCUGACGAUAUUUAAUGACUUCCAAACUGCUCCGACUUUAUUACUCGCAAGCAACACUGUGGCGGUUUUACAAAAAGUGCAGUCGGGGGCACACUAACGCGACGCAUGGCUGGUUGUCUAACAAAACAAAGAUUUCACAAACGACUUAAUUUCAUUACCGGGUUGUUUCCCCGUUUAAUUAUUAACAAAUCAACGGUAACCCAAACGUAAAGGUUAAAGUAGCUGCGUCAACGCUGUAAUUUACUUAUGUAAGUCAUUUCGGAUCGAUUUUGUUAUUAUUAAACUGCUUAAUUCAGUAAUAAGUCAGUCGUGGUAUUUGUGCUGCAAUCAACUAGAAAAAAAUUCAUUCGAUUUGUGUGUUUUCCGCCCACGAGCUCGAAUCAACACGUCGCUACAAGUGCAGCAUUGAAUUAACAAUGUACCAGCAUAAAAUCGCAAUUUGUGAGACUUGAGGAAUUUGCUUCAUAAUGAUCUGGGAAUCAGAGAAGAUGCUGAAGAAGGUGUCUUUUCAGGAGUACUGUUAACAUCUUACCGGGCAGCAUUAGAUUACAUUUUAUACUUCUAAUACUGUCAGGUAAAGAUGUCCUCCGGGCUCCAAUCCACCACGAGAAGAUUUUUGCCAAGGCUUCGGGUCAAUGAUACAAAAUAAGAGAUUUUCUCACAUUUUUAAUGAUUUCUUAAUUUGCUCAGUAACUGGGUUAUCCACAAUAUACUAUUAGAGGCUAGGCAUUUAAAAUCAAAAUUGUCGAAAUUUCGCACAUUUGGUUUUUCAUUUUUUGAUAAUAAAUAAGACUACGAGUUU